rnacentral:rRNA from 1 species
UACGUAGGGUGCAAGCGUUAAUCGGAAUUACUGGGCGUAAAGAGCGCGCAGGCGGUCGUUCAAGUCGAGUGUGAAAGCCCCCGGCUCAACUGGGGAGGGUCACUCGAUACUGAUCGACUUGAAGGCAGGAGAGGGAAGCGGAAUUCCCGGUGUAGUGGUGAAAUGCGUAGAUAUCGGGAGGAACACCAGUGGCGAAGGCGGCUUCCUGGCCUGUUCUUGACGCUGAGGCGCGAAAGCUAGGGGAGCAAACGGG